UACAUAGGGAGCAAGCGUUAUCCGGAAUGAUUGGGCGUAAGGCGUCUGUAGGUGGUUCAAAAAGUCUACUGUCAAAUACGUUGGCUCAACCAACGGCAGGCAUUAGAGUACUAUUGAACUAGAGUAUGGUAGAGGUAGAGGGAAUCCCUAGCGUAACAGUGAAAUGUGUAGAUUUUAGGGAGAACACCAGCGGCGAAGGCGCUCUACUGGGCCAUUACUGACACUGAGAGACGAAAGCUAAGGGAGCGAAAGGG
rnacentral:rRNA from 1 species